AUUUAUUUAUUUAUUUAAUUUAAAAUAUUUUUAUCCCACCUCUCUCCUUAAAAAGGACCCAAGGCAGUUUACGUAGUUUAAAAGGCAAUAUUCAAAAGUUGCAGUAAAUAAAAUCAAUACUAAAAGAAAUUUAAAAUCACGGAGCAUAACAACCCAUUUUCAAAUGGGUUGUUACAACUUAUUCUAGUUUCAACUUGCAACACAAAGCAACAGGAUUUCACUAUACAUCAUUGUUUACUGCUUUUAUUUACUAUGCUGCCACAAGAAGGAAAGUAUUAUGUACAACAUUCUCCCAACACUGCCUGUGUCAUUGCAGAAUAGCAUACAUUAUGCUUUAAUGUUCUAGAAUCACCUGUUUGCAUCUUCUGCUAGUUUCUGUCUUCCACUUCUGCCAUAUUUGAGUCUGGAUUGUAUUGGUCCACCAUUGUCUACCAGGCUUUUGAAUGGUUAAAGUCCUCUCAUGGACAAGAAUGGGCUUAUUUUCUCAAAAAUAAAUUUAAUAUGGGGAUUCUUAUCUUCUCACUUUCCAUGGUAUGAGUCUGAUAUAUCAUGGGAACAAAGACAUGAUUCUGGGGCAAAUUACUCAUUUGUUUAUCUUGGGGUUUGAUUGCAGAUCUACUCUACUCUACCUAAGUAAACAUCUUAUGAUUUCUUCUGUAGUGGCAGUGGCUGAAAUGCGGCAGAUGAAAGCAUUGUUUGUUUUAAUUUCUUUUCUUUUCAAGUGUCAAAAUAAUGCAAUGUUUCCUGCUGUUCCAGAACAAGAGAGGCUUGUCUGACAGCACAUAAACUGUAAUUAUUGUUCCAUGCAUAGGUAGUGUGAUGCUGGGGCAUGUCUUUGGAAUGAAAGUUCAAAGCUGACCUUGAAUAUGAUUCAGAUUGCUGCCUCUGUUUUCCCCUGGCUCUUUAUGCUUAACAGUAAUGCUUCAGAUUUGUAUGACUUCUGCUACAUAGAAUAGACAACAAUCCCAGGUUUGCAUGAUUGAGUCAAGGGCUCACAGAUGGAGCCUUGCUUUUCUGAUAAACUAAUAACAAAGCUUCAGCAAAUGCAUACCUCACUAUUGAGGUUUUAGUACAUAACUGAACACAAGUGGCUUUUGUCAAUAUUCUUUUUUAAUUUACAAUUUCUGAUUAUUCUAAUUAGAAUAGAAAUCCUAGUCCCCA
rnacentral:lncRNA from 1 species